GAUUAUGACCAGAUUACCCAUAAUGCACCCGAUCUCAUCAGCUAUCAGAAGCCAAGCUGGGUUCAGUUUGGAUAGUGCUUGGAUGGGUGACCCACAUGCAGAACAGGUGCUAUAGGCU
rnacentral:rRNA from 1 species